GACAGAGGGUGCAAACGUUGCUCGGAAUUACUGGGCGUAAAGCGCGUGUAGGCGGCCAGGUAAGUCCGUUCUGAAAGCCCGGGGCUCAACCCCGGGAGGCGGAUGGAUACUGCUUGGCUCGAGUCCGGAAGAGGCGAGUGGAAUUCCCGGUGUAGCGGUGAAAUGCGCAGAUAUCAGGAGGAACACCGGUGGCGAAGGCGGGUCUCUGGGCCGAAACUGACGCUGAGGAGCGAAAGCGUGGGGAGCGAACAGG
rnacentral:rRNA from 1 species